GGCGAACGCUGGCGGCGUGCCUAAUACAUGCAAGUCGAGCGAAGUUUUUCUGGUGCUUGCACCGGAAAAACUUAGCGGCGAACGGGUGAGUAACACGUAAAGAACCUGCCUUAUAGACUGGGACAACUAUUGGAAACGAUAGCUAAUACCGGAUAACAGCAUUAACUGCAUGGUUGAUGUUUGAAAGUUGGUUUUGCUAACACUAUGAGAUGGCUUUGCGGUGCAUUAGCUAGUUGGUGGGGUAAAGGCCUACCAAGGCGACGAUGCAUAGCCGACCUGAGAGGGUGAUCGGCCACACUGGGACUGAGACACGGCCCAGACUCCUACGGGAGGCAGCAGUAGGGAAUCUUCCGCAAUGGGCGAAAGCCUGACGGAGCAACGCCGCGUGAGUGAAGAAGGAUUUCGGUUCGUAAAGCUCUGUUGUUAGGGAAGAAUGAUUGUGUAGUAACUAUACACAGUAGAGACGGUACCUAACCAGAAAGCCACGGCUAACUACGUG
rnacentral:rRNA from 1 species